rnacentral:rRNA from 1 species
UGGCGGCGCGCUUAACACAUGCAAGUCGCACGAGAAAGGAGCAACCUGAGUAAAGUGGCGCACGGGUGAGUAACACGUGGAUUAUCUACCUUUUAGUGGGGAAUACCUCUGGGAAACCGGAGACAAUACCGCAUAAGCUCGGAGGAAAGCAGCAAUGCGCUGAAAGAGGAGUCCGCGGCUGAUUAGCUAGUUGGCGGGGUAACGGCCCACCAAGGCGAAGAUCGGUAGCCGGCCUGAGAGGGCACACGGCCACACUGGCACUGAAACACGGGCCAGACUCCUACGGGAGGCAGCAGUGGGGAAUCUUGCACAAUGGAGGAAACUCUGAUGCAGCGACGCCGCGUGAGCGAUGAAGCCCUUCGGGGUGUAAAGCUCUUUCGACGGGAACGAUAAUGACGGUACCCGGAGAAGAAGCUGCGGCUAACUACGUGCCAGCAGCCGCGGUAAUACGUAGGCAGCAAGCGUUGUUCGGAAUUACUGGGCGUAAAGAGUGUGUAGGCGGUGCUCCAAGUCUGUUGUGAAAUCUCCCGGCUUAACCGGGAGGGUGCGGCGGAAACUGGUGUGCUAGAGGGUGGGAGAGGUAAGCGGAAUUCCUGGUGUAGCGGUGAAAUGCGUAGAUAUCAGGAGGAACACCUGUGGUGUAGACAGCUUACUGGACCACUUCUGACGCUGAGACACGAAAGCGUGGGUAGCAAACAGGAUUAGAUACCCUGGUAGUCCACGCCCUAAACGAUGCAUACUUGGUGUGAGCGAUUCAUUUCGUUCGUGCCGGAGCUAACGCGUU